rnacentral:piRNA from 1 species
UGGGAGGUGAAACUCCUUCAUGGCCC